rnacentral:lncRNA from 1 species
CCGCCUCUUCUUCCUCGUGGGCAGAUCCCUGAUUUUGUGUAGGACAGCACUUGAAAUGUAUUUGUGUGCUCAACAUUGGUUUCCUCUCUGGAACCUGGGAUCACUUCAGGGGUGGACACGUGGCCCAACCAUGACUGAUGAGACAUGCGGGGAAAUCUGCAGAGGCAACUUCUAGGAAAGGUUGGGCUCUUGCAGCCACCCUGUGACUAUGAGGUUUUUGUAAGCUCCAGACAUUGGAUAAAGCAUUUUGAGGGAUAGGUGAAAACGAAAUCCUGCCCUUUACUCUUGAGAACUCACUCUGCUGUGGGAGGAGAGACAGGCAGCAUUCUGACCACAAUGCCAGAAGACAAUACGGAAUUACUCAGUACAUGAAGCACCAGGAAGAUGACAACAGAAGAGAGAGGACCCAGACAUUGGAAUCAGCAGCCACCAGGUGCAAUCUCCAACAUGUGCGGGCUUUGGGAAAACACAAUCGGGCAAGUGAAGUUUGUUGCAGACAAGUUCUUCUUCCCCUCUGCCACAACCUCCUCCAAGGCACUCUCUCCUGCCCACGGAUCUUGCUUGGGAAAGGAAUGGGGCAAGUGGAAAUGGCCAUUUCUUAGAUGAACACAUCAGGGACUUGCUCCAGUCUGAAGUCUAUACAGAGCUAGGCUUUGAAUCCAGUCACGUAACUGCAUAGCAGCAAAUCAGCCUUUCAGAAUAUUGCAGGAUCAGCAAUGAAAUUCCCUUUGCCAGAGAAAUGGACAAACAAGGAAGCAACAAUGGUGAUGGUGGAAGUGUUCUUCAAGUCUAAGUUUGGGUUCUAGAAACAUCUGGCCAAAUAACGUCUUUCACAACUAAAAUAGAAUAUAAAGAAGCCAUUUGACCUGCCUCAGUUAUCAUGGUCAUCAUGACAAGCUGCAGCAGGACAAAUCAGCUUAACAAUUUCG